rnacentral:rRNA from 1 species
UUCCUUACGGGGGGCAGCAGGCGGGAAAUCUUUACAAUGCGGGAAACCGCGAUAAGGGGACACCGAGUGCCAGCAUUUAUGUUGGCUGUCCACAUGUGUAAACGGCAUGUGUUAGCAAGGGCCGGGCAAGACCGGUGCCAGCCGCCGCGGUAACACCGGCGGCCCGAGUGGUAAUCACUUUUAUUGGGUCUAAAGGGUCCGUAGCCGGUUUGAUCAGUUCUUCGGGAAAUCUGACAGCUCAACUGUUAGGCUUCCGGGGAAUACUGUCAGACUUGGGACCGGGAGAGGUAAGAGGUACUACAGGGGUAGGAGUG